AGAGUUUGAUCCUGGCUCAGGACGAACGCUGGCGGCGUGCUUAACACAUGCAAGUCGAACGAGGUGCUUGCACCUAGUGGCGAACGGGUGAGUAACACGUGAGCAACCUGCCCUUGGCUCUGGGAUAGCCUCCGGAAACGGAAGCUAAUACCGGAUACGACGUACGGAGGCAUCUCCUGUACGUGGAAAGAACUUCGGUC
rnacentral:rRNA from 1 species